CUGGAGACUGACUCCCACAACGCCAAACGAGAGGUUAUGCACCUGCAACAAGAGAUGCAGACCCUCCAAAAGCAACAGACCACCUUAGAGCAAAAACUCACGAUAAUGGAAGACUCAAAAAUCUCAAGGUCAGAGGGGUGGCGGAGGCAAUCCCAGGCGAUGAAUUGCCGCACUUUAUUAGACGCCUCCUGGGCGAAAGCAAUAAUGAUAGCACGUUCCGGAUCCCCAGACCCGCCAAAGCCCCGGCCACUGCUCCCAGGGACCUGACUGCCUUUCUAGGCAAGGCAGGACAAGGCUGCAGUGAUGGGCGCCCUCCGGGGACAAUCCCCAUACAACUUUGAGAACUCUUCGCUUACCUUCUUUGCCAACCUGACAGGGAGCACACUGGCAUGGCGAAAGUCCCUGCAGCCCUUCACGACGCUGCUCCGGACGCACAACAUCACCUACAGACACGCUGGAAAUCUCCCACGGCGGAACCAUCUACCUGGUUCACGAUUUGGAAUGAGCAGCAGCGAUCCUGGAGAGCCUGGGCCUCCCACUGAACUCAUUAACCAACACCUCAAAAGCAACGGCGACCACAUCGCAUGGCUGGGACUCGGCGAACAAAGCCCCCUUUAUACUCAGGAAGCCCCCGGCGGACAUCCACGCAGAGGCUACGACCUGAUCUCCCCCAGUCAGCCACACAACAUGCUGGCAGUUAAGACUUUGCUCAUAGAGGACUAACGUGUUUAAUCUUGCUCUCUAAGUUUAAUACU